GCAAAGAAAUCAUUCCUAUUGGUAGCGUGCCUCAGAUCGUCCACUACGCAGCGGCAUGUAUGCUGGGAGUAACAUCGUCGACGCAGCACCGGCAACUUGGAGAGCGUCGUGCCAUUGAAAAGCAGUGUCCACAUGAUGGCAGGGAACCUGUGGCCGUGGCUACAGCAGCACAGCGUGUAAUCUGGAUGUCACGUGAACGAUCUUAUCUGGCCUGAAGUCCUAUGGCGGCAAUGCACGACCGCAUUGGGGAGGCU